rnacentral:lncRNA from 1 species
UCCCGCCGAUCAGAUAACCUCUCCAGUGGGAGCUGAGACAGUUCAGCACCUUGCGAGAAAAAGUCCAUUUUCAGAAUCAGGGCCCAAAUGACGCCACUAAAGCCAAAUUCACCCCCUGCUGCAGGUGGGAGUCAAAGGCACUCAGUAGCUCAUCAGCCUGGCCUUUGUAGUUUAUUGAGCCGCUGUGCAAACUUCAGAGAUAUUAUUUUAUAUGACCUUGGAUCUAUUCAACGCUGAAUACAGUGUUUUUCUUCUGAAGACCCGGGCUGCAUUUUGUGUAAGAUAUGUACGUUCCGGAGGAAACAGUAAACAUGGCCGUGACCUGCUGAGCUCAGAUUUCUUCAUCAAAUAUCCACCAUUCCCCAAGAUAGGCCUGAGCAUGAAGUUUGAAUCCAGGCGAAUUGGUUUGGCCCACUGCAAAGCUAGGAAGAAGCUGCAACGUUCAAAUCCAGCUCUCCAUGUCGUUGACGAACGGUGCAGCUCUCCUCGUUUAUGCAGGGUGGUGUACUGCAAGAAAGGGUUAAAAUAAUCUUGGCAAAAAUCAGCUGUCUUUUAACCUUGUUGCAAAAUCUAGACAACCCAAGGAUGUUUGCUUUUCUCCCUGAAGGUUAAGUUGUCCUAACAGGUGCUAAUUUUGUGUUUUCUUAUGGAGAUCUGUCCAUAUUAGAAGCAACUGUGUGCAAACAAAAAAGCCAAUUAGAGUGCAAGGGUAUUUUUCAUCCUUCCUAUUUCCAUGUAGUCCCCAGCUAUCUCUAUCAGUCAUGUUAAGCCAUAGACUUAUCCUUUCUUGAGAAUUGGUAGACUUGUGCCCUCUUUGGGGAAAAUUGCUAUUCUAAUGUCAUGGGAAAAAUAUUGUCCUGGGGAAGUGGAUGAUCCACGUUAACUGGGAUUUGUCAUCAGCUUUGGCAACCUACGUAGCAAGGGUUGAGAUUAAUGGAGCCAAAGACUUUAAGCAAAUAUUGUUGGCGUGCUGUUAAACUGUCAAGAGAGCAAGAAAAAAAGCUCACUCUGCAACCCCCAAAUAAAGAUUUGUAUUCACUGAGCA